rnacentral:lncRNA from 1 species
CAGGGCAUCACCUGCUGUGCCAUCUCCAUGGGCCCCUGCUCCAUCAUUUUACUAAUUACCUUCAGGUUGCUUUCUGCUGAGCACUAGCAGUCCCCAAGAGCUCCCAGCUUUCCCACAUAGCUGCUGGUACUCAGUGUCAUCCAGAGUUGGGAUUUGACCACAGUGUUGGGUACUGAGUGCUAGCAUAUCACUUCUUGGGCCAUUGGUGAGUGCAAGCAGUGUGGCCCAGCUUGGCCAUCAGGCCACUGAGGAUGCCUGGGCCUCAUCUCUCUGUACACCUUAUCUCCCUCCCCUUCUCCCUCCC